rnacentral:rRNA from 1 species
GAGUUUGAUCCUGGCUCAGGACGAACGCUGGCGGCGCGCCUAACACAUGCAAGUCGAACGGAGUCGAGAGGAGCUUGCUUUUCUUGACUUAGUGGCGAACGGGUGAGUAACGCGUGAGUAACCUGCCCUGGAGUGGGGGACAACAGUUGGAAACGACUGCUAAUACCGCAUAAGCCCACGGUGCCGCAUGGAACUGAGGGAAAAGGAUUUAUUCGCUCUAGGAUGGACUCGCGUCCAAUUAGCUAGUUGGUGAGGUAACGGCCCACCAAGGCGACGAUUGGUAGCCGGACUGAGAGGUUGAACGGCCACAUUGGGACUGAGACACGGCCCAGACUCCUACGGGAGGCAGCAGUGGGGGAUAUUGCACAAUGGGGGAAACCCUGAUGCAGCGACGCCGCGUGGAGGAAGAAGGUUUUCGGAUUGUAAACUCCUGUCGUUAGGGACGAUAAUGACGGUACCUAACAAGAAAGCACCGGCUAACUACGUGCCAGCAGCCGCGGUAAUAC